rnacentral:tRNA from 1 species
AAGGAUUUAAGUUAAAACAAACUACCAGCCUUCAAAGUUGGAAAUAGGGGCUACUCUAGGCCUUA